GUUGAACGCUGGCGGCAUGCCUCACACAUGCAAGUCGAACGGUAACGCGGGGCAACCUGGCGACGAGUGGCGAACGGGUGAGUAAUGCAUCGGAACGUGCCCAGUAGUGGGGGAUAGCCCGGCGAAAGCCGGAUUAAUACCGCAUACGACCUUCGGGUGAAAGGGGGGGAUCGCAAGACCUCUCGCUAUUGGAGCGGCCGAUGUCAGAUUAGGUGGUUGGAGGGGUAAAAGCCUACCAAGCCGACGAUCUGUAGCCGGUCUGAGAGGACGACCAGCCACACUGGGACUGAGACACGGCCCAGACUCCUACGGGAGGCAGCAGUGGGGAAUUUUGGACAAUGGGCGCAAGCCUGAUCCAGCCAUGCCGCGUGCGGGAAGAAGGCCUUCGGGUUGUAAACCGCUUUUGUCAGGGAAGAAACGCUUCGAGCUAAUACCUCGGAGUAAUGACGGUACCUGAAGAAUAAGCACCGGCUAACUACGUGCCAGCAGCCGCCGUAA
rnacentral:rRNA from 1 species